rfam:Camelus ferus unplaced genomic scaffold scaffold606, whole genome shotgun sequence.
GGAGGGUACAGCUCAGUGGUAGAGCACAUGCUUAGCAUGCACAAGGUCCUGGGUUCAAUCCCCAGCAACUCCA